CCCCCUCGCUUCGCCAAACUGGACUUCGCCACCUACGAGGGCACGGAGGACCCCCUCAACUGGCUCAACCAGUGCGAGCAGUUCUUUCGAGGGCAGCGAACGCUCGCUUCGGAUCGCACCUGGCUCGCGUCCUAUCAUCUUCGAGGCGCGGCGCAGACCUGGUACUACGCCCUCGAGCAGGACGAGGGCGGCAUGCCACCAUGGGAGUGCUUCCGGGAGCUCUGUCUCCUCCGGUUCGGGCCUCCUAUCCGCGGGAGCCGACUAGCGGCCCUCGGCCGCUUACCUUUCACAUCCACGGUGCAGGACUACGCUGACCGCUUCCAGGCCCUGGCGUGCCACGCGCCGGGCGUCUCCGCCACUCAGCGCGCCGAGUUAUUUGUGGGCGGUCUACCGGAUCAUAUCCGCGUGGACGUGGAGCUUCGGGGACCCCAGGAUCUCCAGUCGGCCAUGUAUUACGCCCGCGCGUUCGAGUGCCGCGCGGUGGCCAUCCAGCAGGAA
rnacentral:rRNA from 1 species